rnacentral:lncRNA from 1 species
GUCAGCACCUGGUGUCCUGCAGAAGCUGGGGGAAGGAGGAUUGUCUUCUAACUAAAAGAAGCUAAUUCACAGCAAGGAAAGGAGCCUGUAUGCCCCUAGUAAAUCCAUUUGGCACAAUAAAUGAGACAGGUGGGAGCAGAAGGCUGUAGGGACCAUAUGGCCAGGAAGGUGGUGCAAGGGUAACAAAACCUCAAAUUGGAUCUUGUCUCAGGCAUGAGGAGAUUGGAAACAUGCAUGGAAAACUAGGUGGCUGAAUUUUAAGACACAUUUUUUCAGUGUGUAUAGGUGCACAGUUUGCAAAGUUUGUACCUUUUUC